GAUGAACGCUGGCGGCGUGCCUAAUACAUGCAAGUCGAGCGAAUGGGUUAAGAGCUUGCUCUUAUGAAGUUAGCGGCGGACGGGUGAGUAACACGUGGGUAACCUGCCCAUAAGACUGGGAUAACUCCGGGAAACCGGGGCUAAUACCGGAUAACAUUUUGAACCGCAUGGUUCGAAAUUGAAAGGCGGCUUCGGCUGUCACUUAUGGAUGGACCCGCGUCGCAUUAGCUAGGUGGUGAGGUAACGGCUCACCAAGGCAACGAUGCGUAGCCGACCUGAGGGGGUGAUCGGCCACACUGGGACUGAGACACGGCCCAGACUCCUACGGGAGGCAGCAGUAGGGAAUCUUCCGCAAUGGACGAAAGUCUGACGGAGCAACGCCGCGUGAGUGAUGAAGGCUUUCGGGUCGUAAAACUCUGUUGUUAGGGAAGAACAAGUGCUAGUUGAAUAAGCUGGCACCUUGACGGUACCUAACCAGAAAGCCACGGCUAACUACGUGCCAGCAGCCGCGGUAA
rnacentral:rRNA from 1 species